rnacentral:rRNA from 1 species
AACGAACGCUGGCGGCGUGCUUAAUACAUGCAAGUCGAACGUGAUUCCCGAGCAAUCGGGAUGAAAGUGGCGAACGGGUGAGUAACACGUAAGUAAUCUGCCUCUAAGAUUGGGAUAACCCUGCCAACGCGGGGCUAAUACCGGAUGUGGUCCCGCCAACGCAUGUUGGCGGGAUUAAAGGAGCAAUCCGCUUAGAGAUGAACUUGCGGCCCAUUAGUUUGUUGGUGAGGUAACGGCCCACCAAGACUGAGAUGGGUAGCCGGCCUGAGAGGGUGGACGGCCACAUUGGAACUGAGACACGGUCCAAACUCCUACGGGAGGCAGCAGUGAGGAAUAUUGGUCAAUGGACGAGAGUCUGAACCAGCCAAGUAGCGUGCAGGAAGACGGCCCUAUGGGUUGUAAACUGCUUUUAUAAGGGAAUAAAGUGAGAGUCGUGACUCUUUUUGCAUG